UGGUGGAGUGAUUUGUCUGGUUAAUUCCGAUAACGAACGAGACCUUAACCUGCUAAAUAGAGAUGCGAACCUGCGUUCGUAGGCUCUUCUUAGAGGGACUGACUACGUUUAGUGGUCGGAAGUUUGAGGCAAUAACA
rnacentral:rRNA from 1 species